UACAGAGGGUGCAAGCGUUAAUCGGAUUUACUGGGCGUAAAGCGUGCGUAGGAGGUCGCGUAAGUCGGUUGUGAAAUCCCUGGGCUCAACCUGGGAAUUGCUUCCGAUACUGCGGGACUAGAGUUCGGUAGAGGGUGGCGGAACUCCCGGUGUAGCGGUGAAAUGCGUAGAUAUCGGAAGGAACAUCAGUGGCGAAAGCGGCUUCCUGGACCAGUACCGACGUUCAGGCACGAAAGCGUGGGGAGCAAACAGG
rnacentral:rRNA from 1 species